AUACGGAGGAUCCGAGCGUUAUCCGGAUUUAUUGGGUUUAAAGGGUGCGCAGGCGGGAGAUUAAGUCGGCGGUGAAAUUUUUCAGCUCAACUGUAAAAGUGCCUUCGAUACUGGUUUCCUUGAGUGUGGGUGAAGUAGGCGGAAUUUGUGGUGUAGGGGUGAAAUGCUUAGAUAUCACGAGGAACUCCGAUUGCGCAGGCAGCUUACUAAACCACUACUGACGCUCAGGCACGAAGGCGUGGGGAUCAAACAGGAUUAGAUACCCUGGUAGUCCACGCAGUAAACGAUGAUUACUGGCUGUUUGCGAUACAAUGUAAGCGGCUGAGCGAAAGCGUUAAGUAAUCCACCUGGGGAGUACGUUCGCAAGAAUGAAACUCAAAGGAAUUGACGGGG
rnacentral:rRNA from 1 species